GACGAAGGAUGCAAGCGUUAUCCGGAUUCAUUGGGUUUAAAGGGUGCGUAGGCGGCCCGGUAAGUCAGUGGUGAAAUCUCCCUGCUUAACAAGGAAACUGCCAUUGAUACUGCUGGGCUUGAGUACAGAUGCUGUGGGCGGAAUAUGACAUGUAGUGGUGAAAUGCGUAGAUAUCUGGAGGAACACCGGUGGCGAAAGCGGCUCACUGGACCCGAUCUGACACUGAUGUGCGAAAGCUAGGGUAGCAAACGGG
rnacentral:rRNA from 1 species